rnacentral:rRNA from 1 species
AGUGAACGCUGGCGGUAGGCCUAACACAUGCAAGUCGAACGGCAGCACAGUAAGAGCUUGCUCUUACGGGUGGCGAGUGGCGGACGGGUGAGGAAUACAUCGGAAUCUACUUUUUCGUGGGGGAUAUCGUAGGGAAACUUACGCUAAUACCGCAUACGACCUACGGCUGAAAGCAGGGGAUCUUCGGACCUUGCGCGAUUGAAUGAGCCGAUGUCGGAUUAGCUAGUUGGCGGGGUAAAGGCCCACCAAGGCGACGAUCCGUAGCUGGUCUGAGAGGAUGAUCAGCCACACUGGAACUGAGACACGGUCCAGACUCCUACGGGAGGCAGCAGUGGGGAAUAUUGGACAAUGGGCGCAAGCCUGAUCCAGCCAUGCCGCGUGGGUGAAGAAGGCCUUCGGGUUGUAAAGCCCUUUUGUUGGGAAAGAAAAGAAGCAGGUUAAUACCCCGCUGUUCUGACGGUACCCAAAGAAUAAGCACCGGCUAACUUCGUG